rnacentral:rRNA from 1 species
UACGAAGGGGGGCUAGCGUUGCUCGGAAUGACUGGGCGUAAAGGGCGCGUAGGCGGUUUGUACAGUCAGAUGUGAAAUUCCCCGGGCUCAACCUGGGGGGCUGCAUUUGAUACGUAUGGACUCGAGUUCGGAAGAGGGUCGUGGAAUUCCCAGUGUAGAGGUGAAAUUCGUAGAUAUUGGGAAGAACACCGGUGGCGAAGGCGGCGACCUGGUCCGAUACUGACGCUGAGGCGCGAAAGCGUGGGGAGCAAACGGG